GAGUGGCAGACGGGUGAGUAACGCGUGGGAAUCUACCCAGAACUACGGAACAACUGAGGGAAACUUGAGCUAAUACCGUAUACGCCCUACGGGGGAAAGAUUUAUCGGAUCUGGAUGAGCCCGCGUUGGAUUAGCUAGUUGGUGGGGUAAUGGCCUACCAAGGCGACGAUCCAUAGCUGGUCUGAGAGGAUGAUCAGCCACAUUGGGACUGAGACACGGCCCAGACUCCUACGGGAGGCAGCAGUGGGGAAUAUUGGACAAUGGGCGAAAGCCUGAUCCAGCCAUGCCGCGUGAGUGAUGAAGGCCUUAGGGUUGUAAAGCUCUUUCAGUAGGGAAGAUAAUGACGGUACCCACAGAAGAAGCCCCGGCUAACUUCGUGCCAGCA
rnacentral:rRNA from 1 species